rnacentral:lncRNA from 1 species
CGGGACGGGACAUUGGCCAGCAGAAGCGGGACGUGGACAAAAGGCGGGACUGGGCAGGGAGCUGUCCCUUCGACCCACCUCCGACCCCCGGAGUUGCCACCUGGGAACUACUAGUCCCAAAGUGCACCGCUUCCUUCGCCUGGCCUACAGCCCCAUGCGCAGGCGCCUUGCUAAAUUUCUGUUUGGUGGCGCGCUGCGUCCUGGGACUUGUAGUCCUGUCCUGUAAAGGCCACGCAGGUUCCAGGCGUUCUGAGUUCCGCUGGCCCUUCGGCCAGUCCUCAUAGGUGGGCUUCACAGUCCCUGGGAGUCGUCAGUUAUUUGCCCUUCUCUUCCUGAAAAUGUUUCUCUGAGAGCUGACAGAAUGACACUUGGUCCCCAGAAAAGGCGGCCUCACCUAUAAGGUAUUUGAAGUCGGGAGAGGAAGAGGGCUUGGAGAAUACAUACAGUCAGAAAGUUUUUCUCUUUGCAGAUUAAUCUCCUUGUGAAAUCAGCACUCUACUUCGAGAUACAGGAUUGCACUUCAGACUUGCCACCGCCCUUUUAAAGUUCAUCAUGCUUUUCUUUGCAUCAGACAGGGUUUCUCGGUGGCUUUGGAGGAUGCCCUGGAACUAGCUCUUGAGACCAUCUCAAACUCAUAGAGAUCUGCCUGCUUCUGCCUCCCGAGUACUGGGACUAAAGGCAUGCGCCACUAAUGCCCAUCACUGCUGUUUUCUGCCUGAGUCAGAAACUUUUCUUCCCCACUUAAUAAAGGAUCUCUCUGUGAAGAAAAACAAAAAGACUAUGUCUCUCUAUAUAAAGUUUUAUAACUAUUCACUUAUUUUGCGCGUAGGAGGCAUUGAGCACUCUCUACCUACAAUCUUGCUGUAGGAAUGCUGUGAUUACAGAUGGCACCACCACAG